GAAAAAAUUAAAAAUGUUAACAUACUAUUGAAGUAUACUCAGAUUUUAUAUUAUCAUUCAUAGACUAUAUGAUAUUCUAAGAAAUUGUCUCACAUAUAUAAAACCAUCUAAAGAUUGAAAUUGUGUACUUAGCCAAUAAUAGUUUAUAUGCCUGCCAUAUAGGCCUUAAAACAAAAGAAUUGAAAGAACAUAAAUUGAAAUCUAAUACUCUUAAAUUCUACUAAUGUCUUCAUAAAUCUAGAAAAUUAAAGAUAGAAUCCCCGAACAUGAUGAGCUACCAAGACUUGGAGAAUGAGUUCCAUGCUUCUUCAAAUCAACAUGCUUAAACUUCAAUAGCAGGAACCUAGAGUUGUAGUAAUAUAAAGUAGUGGGGUUAGUACUCUACAUGUACUAAGUAUGGGUAUAUGCACGUAACAUAUAAUGAAAUGCAUGAAAAAGGAUUAUUAAUCGUUUCAUUAGAAAACAUGCUAAGUCAUGUGAAAGUCCUUAAUGCACAUAGCAUGUAUCAUAUACAAGUUAAGGAUUCCAAAAACUUAAAUCAUUAUCAUAAUCAAAGACACAAUACCAUAGAGUCAUAUUUACUUUUCAUAUUCAAUGGAUCAUAUAGCGUAGCAUACAAAACACUCACCAAUAAUCCCAUCCCCAACCUACAAUUGCAAUGGUUAUGUGAAGCCCGAUAACCCUACACAACCAAAUAGAUAAGAUAGGAGACCAUAAGUAAAACUUUGCUUCAUAAAACUUGUAAAAUAAGUAGUCAUCACUUCAAAUAGCAAUAUAAAUCAAUAACAUGUUCAUCAUAAUAACUAACAUCAUAUAAGAGUAACAUCAUGUAUCAUAACAUAUAUCUUUCAUGUCAUCAUAUUAUAUAAGAACAAUACCCUAGGACUUCUCUUAGAGUCAACUUGUGCAAUGUCUAGGUAGAGUCCCACACCCCUACCUAUACUAUGUAGACUACUCAAGUUACCCUAGUCUAUGUUCACGUACUUGUCUUUCAUUUUUACAUGAGGGAAAAUUCUCCUUAACCGACAUAGACCAUGUGAGAUAAACAUGGAAUCCAGUGUCUUCCCAAACCGAAAAGAGUUGGUCUACCGGCCAAAAUAGAACCUACAUGACAUAACUUUCUAGUUGGAUCCACUAGCUAGUAUCCUAUGGUAACAACAUAGUUCAAGAACUAGGAGAUGUAUUAGAGACCCAUAGUUCCACAUUACAUGGCAGACUCAAUCUCAUGAGACCUACCUUCCACUAGGGAAGGGAUACUUCUCAUAUCUAGUCCAUCGGUGCUUAGCUUAAGUCCCUUUUCUUGAAAUAAUAUUUAUAUUUUCUUUCAUCAUAAAAUUAUUAUAGGUAAUAGGAGGUUAACUCCCUUUAUAAACAUCAUGAUGAUCUGUUUAGGGAUUAGAUAAGGAUUUACUUACAUCGCAACCCUUCAUAUGAGAGGUUAACAUAACAUAGUCAUCUUGUGUAAAGCAUACAAGAGAAUAUCAUAACUUGCAUUUUCAUAGUCUUAUCAUGAUAUCACUUUUAACGUUGUUCAUAUCCCAACAUAUACACAUAAAAACAUCAUACAUACUUUCAUAACAUAACAUCAUGAUUUAUAGGCAAACAUAAACAUUGUAAAGUAAUCAUAACUUUAGAAGACUUACCUCUUGGUUCCAAGAACCUUAUUCAUCUUACAAUAUUCAUAAUCAUAUUUAGUGAAAUACUCAAUAACAUUAUCAAGAACAACUCAUCAAAUCAUGUACAAGAUCAAUGCAUAGUGUAGGAAAAGGGAAAUAGGUCGUUAAAGGGUUCAUUCAAGUCUUAAUCACAAUCCUAAUGUUUACACGUUAUCAAAUACUAUAAACAACCCAUUGGAAACCAUCACUUAGAUAAAUAUCAUGUAUUACACGACAUUCAAACAUUAUCAAUCAAACACUCAGUAGUUUGUGUGAAAUUAAUCAUAGAAAAUGUAAACUUUUCGUUAAAAAUCAUAAAUCUAGGGUUAGGAAGAAAAUAUAUUUUGUAGAGUAAAACCCUAGUAUUUGAAGUUCUUGAAAACUUAUAUUGAAAGGACCUCUUCGGGAAAGGAAUCGCAAGAGUGCAAAACACAUACCUUAUAGAUAAAGAAUCCACGAAAAUUUGAUUAGAAACUUCAAACCUUCGUCUUCUUCCUUAAGCUUUUCUCAUUCUUCAAUGGAGUUUUUAGAAGAGUUUAAGUGAGAAACUGAGAGAAUUUUCGUUUGACCUGAUUUGGGACAUGCAAAAGUGGUCUAAAACUGACGUUAUAUCAAUACAUAGUCAUCACAUAAGCCUCCUCUUAAUUGGGUCUUUUAGUAUGUUAAAUUACCAAAAACGCCCCUCCUAAAUUGACUAAUAAUAGGAUAGCAUUUGACUUAGCAAAAUUCUGAAAAAUUACUUAGGGUUCGGGUAACAUAAUUAUUUUUAUAUUAAUUAAUUAAGUUGAUAAUUUAAUUAAUUAAGUCAACUAGGGUAACUACUAAUGUACCCUUAAGUCACUAGGACCAUAACUAACCCCUUUGGACCAUCCUAUGUUAGUUACUAGGAUGUUUCUUUAGUUAGUUACCUGGCUAGUGUCACCCGGUUAGGUUUUAGGAUUUCGGGUACACUAGUUAGAUUAUUUUAGUUAAUACUAGGUUAGUUAGUUAUUUAGGUAAGUUAGUUAGACCCUAGGACUUGUUAGGAAUCAAGGCCCCAUGUGGCUUUACCUGCACGCAGGCCUGCCCUUUAACCUCCCUAAUCGAAUUCGGUUGGGGUGUUGUCGCUUGGUCUCUUGCACAUGUGCUUGCACAUGUGUUGCUGCGCAUUUCUUGUCCAAGGACCCUCACUAUGUCCUUGGGCACGACUUAAUCUACAUGAUGAUUAUAAAUGAUCAUGUGCUAUGCUACCUACGCUUGGCACUUGGAUGCCUCAUACCUAAUGUAUACAACUAAGAAUUUAAUAUUUUAGUUUAGGAUUUUCAUUGCAGGUACAAUUCCUAAACAAGCUUGGAUUAGAGCAUUUGAAUAUCAAAGUAUAUCUUAAUACAUAGAAAUUGGCUAAACAUCGAAGUGUAUUUUAAGUUACUUGUUAAUACAUGGAAAUUGGCUAACACCCUUAAGCAAAUAUUUUCUAACAUGCCCAAUAUUACCUAAUAUUGAGCAUUGGGAUGUUUAUGUACCCCAAUACAUAUUCUUAAAAUCUAAUAGACUCUUCAAUAGACAAGUACAUUUUCAGGAAUGUUAGAAAAUUAAUGAAUCAUCUAUUCUGUACUAGUAAUCGACUGCGUAGCAUAUCUAGACAAGGCAUGAAACUUGGCCUCAUAAGCGAUAAACAUACUACCUCAAUAAAAAUCCAUGAGCUCAUCUUUGUUGCGGUCUCUCAAAGUCCUAAGCACAUAUUUCUCCAAGAACAUGACAUUAAACUGGGUCCAAGUAAGUAGAGGUAAAAAUUAAAAUCUUUAUUUUGUAUAAUCUCUCCACCACUACUUAGCCUCACCUUAAAGCUUAAAAGUCACGAAUUCAACCCCAUGCUGAAGAAAAAUUCCCCACUUAUGAAGCCUCUCAUAGAAAUAAAGGAUGAAAUCAUAUGCAUCCUCACUCUCAAAACCAUGGAAGAAAGGUGGUUUCAACUUCAAAACUUGGUCAACAUCGCAUGUUCAUUGCAAUUCAUAACAUGAACCAAUAAGUGAAAGAAGAAAUUAUUAUUACGUACAUUCUCUCCCACCUCUGGGACAAUGAUAACAACAGGAGAAUUGGCGAGAGCUUGAGUUGCUUGAACAGACAGAAGCACUCCAGGAUCAACCAAUUCUUUCAAGAAUGACAUGAUCUUUUAAGAGAACACUGGGUCAUGUGAGGAAUACAUGUAGUCUUAUACUGCGCCUCUUCCUCUUUUACAACCUCCUCAACAUUUUUAACCUCAACAUUCUCCUCUAUAUCUUCAUUAUUUACGGGAGGGGCCUCAUUUUGGUGAGGAUUUCUUACUGGUACCCCAUCUGUAGUAGGCACCACUCUUCCUAGGCUAACCCUAAAUCUUCCUCUACCUGAUCUCGACUGCUACCUCUCACUAUAGGUUCCUCAAUUGGAGCAUUUACAAGAGCUACGGGCCUGAUGUCAUUGAAUCUAGUGUUUACGUCAUGCAAACAGAAGAGUAAAACACCCACACUAAAGCUCCAAUAGGAGAAACAUUUAUACUAAUUUGCUACCCAACAUAAUCAACAUAGUAAAGUAUUGGGAUAAUGCCCAUGUACCCCCUCAACCUAUGACCGAAAUCUCAGAGGCACACUUAUACUAUACUAAGGUCCUAUUACCCCCUGAACUUAUUUUAUUAAUAAGUUUUUACCCCUUUUUAGCUUACGUGGCACUAUCUUGUGGGCCCAACGAUGGUUGACUUUUUUUUUUGAACUAGUGCCACGUAGGCUAAAAAGGGGUUGAAAAUUACAUAUAAAAUAAGUUCAGGGGGUAAUAGGACCUUAGUGUAGUGUAAGUGUCUCUCUGAGAUUUCAGGCAUAGGUUGAGGGGUACUUGAGUAUUUUCCCUAAAGUAUUUAACAUUACAGAAGCAAGUUUAUAUAAUUAUAUACUAAAGUCCCCAGAAACAUCUAAAAUAUCUAACAACGAAUUGUGAAUUGAAUUCUGAGAACCCAAAAGUCAAUGUAUUAAAAAUUUUAAAAGAUCCAUAAGUCUAAACAAGAAAUGUUACACCACAAACUAAUGAACUCACAACUAACUAGAAAGUUCAAGUCUGAAAUAUGGAAAAAGUCAAAAAGAGAACUCAUGGCGACCUGAAAUAACUCUCACCCUUGAAUUCAAUAAAUAAUCUCUCAUUUUCUAAAUAGAUCUAUCAUAGCUCCAUGAAGAUGUCAUCUACUCAACAAAGAAAGAGUUAGCGCAGUAAUAGUACACAACGACAUUGUACUGGUAGGAUCACGCGGCUAUCCAGUAAGUGCAACAUGUAAGUCAAUACAACAUAAUAACAACAUGAAUACCCCAAACAUAUACAAUAUCAUCAUCAUUUACAACAACAUACAAUUUCACAUUUCUUAAGAUACACAUAUAUGUCAAGUCAAUGGCCCUCUCAUGGAACCAAACUCAUACUAUUAGAAUACCGAAAAGUGGUACCCGAUCUAAUCUUUAUGCCAGAACGUGACACCUGAUCCCAUAUUUAUGUCGGAAUAUUGCAACCUAUCCAAGUUAGCAUGUCAAAAUGCAAUACCUGAUCCAUUCAAAAAGCCACAACCAAAUCACAAUUAUAUUCUCAAGAUCAUACAAUUAAGUCAGGAUUAAUGGCAUUCAUCAUUCAUCUAUCUCAUUUACGAAAAUUGUGGUUAAUAAUGCAACAUUUGCAUAAAUACACAUAUUAAAAUGAAGCAAGAAUAAACAUAUAUCAAAUGAUUAAAUGAAAACCGUCACCUACCUUGAACAGAGAUCCAAUCCCCUAAGAAACUUGAUUCUUCCCACUUGAUGUUUGUUCUUGGUGUAUAAACGAUCAAUAUAACAUUGGAAUCAGUAAACAAUAACUAAUUACCAGAAUUACUCCCAAUUCAAUUAACCCUGGAUCAUACCCAUGAUCCAGAUACCCAUAUUAGCGCUUUCUUUACCAUAAAAAAAUAAAUAUAAAAAAAUUAUAAAAAAAUUACAUCAUAACCUUUCACGUUGAUCAUUAUCCAUUAGAUUGCUUUCUAAGGAUCAAAUAGAUUUGGGGAGUGAAAACCUUACUUUUAAUCUCAAGAAUGGUGGAAAAAUGUCGAGAAAAUACUUGGAUUUGUUCCUAUAUGGUGGCCCCCAGCCCGCCACAAUGGCCUCGCCCUGGUAAGAAUAAUUGUGCCACACUCAACAACUACCCGUUCAUGCUAAAAUAUUUUUGAGAGUUCUACUUGCCUAGAUUAAAUUUCGUAAAGUUAUGCGGGUUUCUUAACAUCUUCCCUAUCUACUCAUGCAAUCAAAUACAUAAUUAGAUCAUCAAUUGUUACCAUAUUUUCCUAUAAUUUAAUGACUCAAAUUUCGUCCAAAUAUUGACUAGGUUGGAAAUUAUCAAGUUACUACGAAAAAGUUUUCUGACCCAAAUUUUUUCACCGUUGGCUUUUUUAUAAUGAUUGAACCCGGUGGUUAAAAAACCCAAACUAAUUAAACUGAUGAAAUUCAUCCGAUAUCAGGAUCUCUGGAGGUUGACUAAGGUCAACAAAUUCAUGUCAUUAGCCUCCAAAAGGGUAAAACUCACACCAAACUCUCCCAACCACCUUGAAAAGUGUGCCACUUAUUCAACCACAGCACUCACACCAAACUCUCCCAACCACCUUGAAAAGUGUGCCACUCAUCCAACAACAACACAAAAACGUAUACGGAAUUUACGGAAAGUGAUAACAAUAAAAGCAUGAAAAAAUACAACGGUUACAUAUAUAUUAAAUGAUUAAUGAUUAUUUAACAUAAAUAUAAGAAAUAAAAUAUCAUUAAGAAUAAUCAAUGAGUUAAAGUAUAUUUUUAAUAUCUCCUAGCCCGGACACAUUAUAAAUAUAGGUGAAUAAAUGGGUUUUUCAUCAAAACGAAAAUCACAACAUUGUUUUCAUCAGUAAAAGAUGAUUUUUUAUUUGUCAAAGAGAUACAAAGAAUUUUUGGUUUGAUCCUGAAUAAAACAUAUUUUCAUUAACAGGUAUAGUCGAUGUAUUUCAUUUUUUGAUAAUAUCAAAGCCUGGAUUUUCUACUUUAUUUUAUUAUUGUAAUUUUUAGUUUUAGAUUUUCUUUACACAUAAGAUAUUCAUCUUCAAAUCUAAGAUAUUUGAAAAGAUCAGUUCUCAUCAUCAAAAAUUUAAAAAGAUAAAAUAUUUCAUUAAUGUGAAUUGAAGAGAGUUUGAAAGGGUAGUAAAGACCCUGUUCAUAGUUUAGGUUAAAAGAAUUUACCCAAUUUGAUAGGUUUUCUAGGUUGAAUUGUAGGAAUAUAUAAAAUGUUGAAUGUUUCACUUUGUGGAAAUUUUACAUAGUUUGAUAUAUUUAACUAUGUUCCAAAUCUUACUGAAAUAAAUAAUUUUGUGGAAGAAACUAUGUUUUAACACCUAUAUGGUAAUAAAUAAAUAUUAUAUUUGUUUCAUUUUUCUCAUUUUAGAAAUGUAUGGAAGGAGACGGCGAAAAAAUCGAAGCAGUACAAUUGUGAGUGGUACUAACAAUCAAGAAAGAAAACAACAUAGAAGACUUCGUCGACGAAGGACAAUAACUAGUGACGAUAUUGAUGGUGAUUCCGGAAUCAUUAGAAAUGUUGUUCCAAGAUCUAUUCAAAAUACCUUACGGGAUCAAAGAGCUUGGAUAAGGGAAGGGAGAAGAAAAUAUGAGGAGUUUAAACAUAUCAAAAUGGACCCAUCUUCUUCCAUACCAGAAUAUAUUGAUUUAUUUAAGACUAAACGAGAAGAGUUGACUUCCCAUUUUAUAUGGGUCUUGGAUCUAGAAGCUUUAUUCAUAUUUAUUUUUUCGCUUCCAGAUCAUUGGAUGACAUUAAUGAUUAGCAUUUAUACCUGUCUUGGUCCAAAUAAGGAUUUUUUGGCAUAUAUGUAUAAACUAAAAGUCAAGUGGAAGCAAAAAAAGUAUCUUGAAGCUAAUAUAAAGAGACAUUGGCUUCUAAGGACCUGUCCUAGGCCUUAUUUUUAUCAAUAUUCUCCUAUAGACAAUCUAGCUAAGAUUUUGGCUGAUAGUGUAAUAAAUCCUCAUCACCUACGUAAUGAGAAAGAUGAUAUGUAAUGUAGACUAGUGAUCAUAUGACUUGUGAUAUUUUGAAUAUUUUUUUUAAUGAAAAUGUGUUCUUUGUCUAUGUGUUUAAUUUUUGUGAUAUUUAAAUGCAAUUAAUAAUAUGGAUUAAGACUUAAUUAAAAACCUUUAAUAUACCACAUACUAAGAAAUAACUUGAAUUUUUGAAUAGUCAAUCAAUAUGCAAAUAAUGAUAGAAAACAUUAAGACCCUCAAUUCUAUAUGAAAAGUAUAGUCAUUAUGAAAUUUGAUUUUCCAGGGUUAGGUGAACCAAUUUGUUUCCCUAAACACCUAGUAAUAGGAAUACAUGGUAGAUACAACAAAUAAUUGGAAAUAAAACAUAAAACAUUAAGGGAACAGUGGAAGAUAAGACCAUAAACACUAUACAUUCAUAUAUAUCAAAUGAUAUCCCACCCAUACCCUAGUAGUCACAUGUACAGACCUACUACGAAAGAGCACAAGUCGCAGAAGUGAACAAAAAAUAUAUAGAAUCGUCUCAAAAUCAAAACACUAGGAAAAACUAAAGAGGAUGAGUUAGGCAUGGUCCAUAAAGCCAUAAGAUAACCCUCUCUCUAAAGGUACCCGUUGCGAGCUCGAUAUCAAUGCAGACAAUUAGUACUCAGACCAGCACUAGGAAAGCAGGUGUGAAAUUCAAUAUGAUUACCAAACAAACAGGAAUAGGAUUUAUAGGCCAACUAAACUUCGGAAGAAAAAGCAAUAAUGAAAUGUGGAAUACGAAGCGACUAAAAUCCAUGGAAAGAAAAUAGUAACAAAAAUCCUAAAUAGGAAGAAAACGAUCUAUUGAACGAACGAACAAUAAAAUAAAUAACUAUGUAAAACCUAAAUCGACUCCAUAAGACAACAAGGUGAACACUUAUUCAAUUAAACGUAAAAAAAUCCAAACAAACCCCUAUAAUCCCAAUGGAUAUAAAAAGAUCUAUGGAAUUACUAGAAGAAGUUGAGAACAUAUCUAGAACUCUCACGUCCUACUAAGGACUUUGACAGCGAUAAAGGCAUCCCAAGAACCCUAAAUAGAAAUUCCCAGUUCGAACUCAAACUAAUUGAGAAGGGUGUGUCUGGACUAGAAAUCGGGGUAAAAUAUGAAUCAGGACAUCAAACCACGACUCUAUAUAUGCGUAGCCAUGAACCCAAAUAAAUAGUAGGUAAGCCAAGGACUUUAAGUUGUCUAACAAGUAAGUGCACAAGGUCCUUAAACCCAUUAUAUCAAGAAGCACAUGGACCUUGAACCAUAAAAAAGUACUCCAAAAUCCCUAAUUUUCUUUUGCUAUCCUAAAACAGGACUACGCCGCAACGGUGAACCUCCUUUAGAAUUGAUAGAUACACACUCCAACUCUAAGACUUGAUACCAAAUAGUUGGAUAAAGACUAAGUAGACCCAAAAAUACGCCCGAGUUCACCACAAGGUUAAAUUAUGGAUAAACAUUUCAUAAGAGUUGAAUAUCUGCAAGGAGCUAAGCAAUCCAAAGUGACGUUAGAGAAAUUGUAAGGUUUCAUCACUAGAACUUGAGCCUAGGGAAAUCGCAGCAUAAACCUAGUCUAAGGCUAUUAAAAACCUAUUUAAGAUUUUUUAAAAAUGAACUACAUAUAGACAACCACAAGUAGGAAUGAUUACUUACAAGAUCAACAUAUAAGAAAUCUUGGAACUUAGAAAUAUAACCUAAAUAAUGAUUUCAGACACAAUUGUUAUGAUAAACUACAAUCCAACUCCAAUUGUAGCAAGUCAAAAUGAAUUUACAAUCGUAAGAUAAAUUAAUAACCGGAAGUCAUAGCCUACAACAUUGCAAACUAUGUGUUCUCCAAAAUUAUGAGUUUUCCCUUUUUAAUAUCCUUCAAUCGAUGAUACACUAUCAAAAACAAAAUCACUAUAUCAAAAUGAAGGUUUUGAUACAUAAUAUCCAACAUUUGGGGAUGGACCCAAAAUUAAAAAAAUGUCAAAAUUGGAACUUGUACUGUGAAUCCAGGAAUUGAGUCUCUCAAAAGGCUCAAUUCAACUCACUGAGAUUGUAUUACAAAAUGGGACAACAUUAAUUGUUGAAAGGAAUCAAACUACAACAUGCAACAAUUCACGAAGUAAAACACCAUUAAAUAACUAGACAGUCUAACUCGGAAGAAAAUUUACACCCACUCAAUGUCCCCAUGCAAAUGUGUGAGCACUCCGAUUAGAAGACCUGCUAAUUUCGAACCUACAACACUUGAAAUCACCUAAAAUGGAGGUAUAAGGAUCUCUAAAAUUGACUUUGAACCUUACAAAUAGAAGUUGAUCAUGCAUGGAGCUAGGCUUGUAAAUGUGGAGGUUUAAGCUCCAUAACUUUCACAAAUGUAGCCUAGGGACAGUGAUUGCGAAAACUAAACCCCCAACCUCCGUGAACGUAGAGUUCAGGUCCAUUAGCCACUGGAAUGUGGCUUGUAAUGCAUGAACUUGAAGAGAAAAAGUGUCUCUACCAUCUUGUAACAAUUUGUAUUAAAAAAUAGUCAAAUUCAAUUUUUCUAGAUAUUGUUGGUACCACACCAUACCGGGCACACACGGCCCGUGGAUAAAACCACAGACCAUAGGUCAGGUAUUUAUUUAUCCUACCUAGCUAUAGUUUCAGGGCAAAGACCUAUGGACAAUCCUACUGACCAUAUGUCAAGCCAUGGCUCGUGGUCGAGUUUUGUGGUUUGAGGCUCAAAAUCUUAGUCUGUUAUGACCAAAUGCGGUCCACCAGGACAGACCCUAGGUUAAACCAUGGUCCUUCGACUAGGAUCAGUCAUUGGUCAUGUGAUAGUUACUUUGGGGGUUAUAUGGGUCUUUUCAUAAUUAUUUAAUUCCUAUACUAUGUUGUUUUACCUAUGUUUAGAACCCCUAUAUAAGCCUUUUUACCCCCAAAUUCACCCCCAUUUAGUUCAUUCUUCUAAAUUCCCAAAAGAAAAAACAAAUCUCCUCAAAAAUAUUCUCUCUCUAGAAUCUUGAAAAGAAGAAGGAUUCAACUAGGGUUUCAAGUUAAGGUCUCAAUUCCUCUAUUUAAGAUAAGCAGUUGGACUUCCGGUAUAGUAUUCUAAAUCUAUGAAUCUUUUUCACUCAUGGAGUCCCCAAAUUACUCUAUUUCAAAGGGUAGAAUUCCCCAAAUUAUCUAGGGCUUUCUUCAAUCACCAUAGGUCUUUUGAUUAUUGAUCUUAAUGAUUGAAUUAAGUACACAAGGUUCUCGAACCCAAGAUAACAAGACGACAUCGACCUUGAACCCUAGAAAGUUACUCAAAAAUCCCUAAUUUUCCUUCACCAACUCACAGCCGAUCUAAGACACAAUGAGGAACCACCACUAGAAGCGUCAGCGACGCACUCUUACUCUAACUCCAAGAGUUAAUGCCAUAUAAUUUUAUAAUAACUGAAUAAGUCGACGAACACACUCGAUUAGAUCAAAAGGGUAAAAUAUGGAUAAAAAUUCAUAAGAGUAGAGUUGUCGCCUAGCUAAGGAUGUAACUAUCAAACCCAUGUGUGCUGUAAUUGUCUGAAAUAGCUAGGAAACUGAAGUGACGUAGGAGCAAUUCUAAGACCUACCAGCUCUAAAACUCGAUUCUAAGGAAAUAGAAGAAUAAACCUAGUCUAAGACUUAUAAAAAGAUAAUCAACAUCACAAAUAAACUAGAACUAGACAACCACAAGGUAAGGCAUGAUCACUUACAAGAAUUUGCACACAAGAAUACCUCAAAAUCUAAAAAUAUGACCCAAAUAAUGAUUUCAAACAAAAUAGGCAUGAUCAAUUUUAAAAAAAAACUCCAAUUGUAGCAAGUCCGCAUGAAAUUUACAUUCGUAAGCUAAAUCUAAAGACCCAAAAGUCGUAGUUGGCCUCAAUGAAAAGUGUGCACUCUAAAAUCACGAUUCUAGAGUUUUUCCCAUUUAACUGGACUUCUAUUGAUUUCUCACUAUAAAAAACAGUAUCAUAAUAUCAAAAUGAAUGUUUAAUAGAAAAUACCCAACAUUGGAGAUGGAUCCGAAAUCAAUAAAAGAAAAUACGAAUGUUGAACCCGUACUGUGAUUCCCAAAUUGACUCUAUCAUAAGCUCCAUUUUACUCACUGAGCUUGUGUCCGAAAAUGAAAUAAAAUUGAAUGUCGAAAGGCAUUAAACAACAAAAUGCAACAAUUCACCAAGUAGAAUACUUUAAUGAACUAGGAAUUUCAAUUUGGGACAAAUUAUAUAUCCAAUCAGUGGCCCCUACAAAUCCAUGAAUACUCCAAUACAAAGACCCGCUAAUUUUAAACCUCAAUACUUGAAUUCACCAAAAAUGGAGGAGUGGAAUCUCUAAAAUUAACUUUUAACCUUAUAAACAGAAGUUGAUCACAUCUGGUCUAUAUCUAAGAGUAGGGGUAUGCAUCGGUCGAUUCGGUUCGAUUUUACAUAUAAUCGAUUCGGUUUAUCGAUUUUCGAUUUUAAAAUAUGCUAACCCAAUAAUAAACCAAUAAGAAACUUUUUAUCGGUUUAUCAGUUUUUGAUGUUAUCAGUUCGGUUUCGGUUAACCCAAUAAGAAAAUAUCGAUCAAAUAAUAUAUAAUAGUACGUAUGUUAUAAUUACAUGUUACCAACUUACCGCCAAAACAUAAUAGAAAACUUUGAAUGUUGAUCAAAUUACUUACAUUCACAAACUUGCAAAAGCUAGCGCUUACAAUUACGAACUAGAAUUAAAACUAAAAUAAAAUAUUUCAAUGAGACAAUCUUGAACAGUUGCUUGAUCCACCAGAUAAUCAAUUAAGUUCUCACCAAUUUCCUAACAAAAAAAUCACAUAGCCUGAAAAGCUAAUAUUGAAUCUAUUUAUGUAUUAAAUUAUGUAUAUUUAAUAUUGAGGAAGGGUAAAGUAGUAAAUAACUAUCGUCUUAUUGGGUUAUCAGUUUACCCAAUAACCCAAUAGGAAAAAUCGAAACCGACCCAAUAACCCAAUAAAUAUUUUUUCUAAACCCAUUAAAAACCCUAUAACCUAAUUCCCAAUAACAAUAACCCAAUAACAUUUUAUCGGUUUGGUUUAUUGGUCGGUACGGUUUUUGCACACCCCCUAUCUAAAAGACUAUACAAAAGAGACCUUAGCAAUGUAGAGCAUGCAUGUAAAUGUAGAGGUUCAACCUCUCUAACCUUCAUAAAUGCAGCCUAGGACCCGCAAUUGCGAACACUAAACCCUCAACCCUCUGUGAAUUCAGAGCCAAGUCAACUAGUCAAUGUGGAUGUAAUAUGUAGUCCAGCAAUGUGAAGAGCGAAGUGGGUGCACGAGUUGAUGCACAUGACAUGGCUUUGCGCAACUUGAAAAUCCCUAAUGGGGUUCUCAAAAAUCGUUGAGCAUAUCGUGCACACAAAUGAUAUAGGCUACACGGACAAAAUUAUUAGUUCCAGUAAGUCAUAAAUUUAUUGGGAUUUCUAUAAGAACACUAUAAAUAAUGAAAAGAAGGCAAUAACAAUAAAAUAAAAGUGACUUAUAUAAAAAAAAUCCUAAGAGUCAAGAUGUACAUGAAGGAUCAAGCGCUCAAGGAAAGUACUCUCGCAUCUUGUGUUCAAUCUCCUAUAGUGCCUCCCCGACUACACGAUACCUCCAAUGGACCUUAACCACAUAAAUGUCUCUUGAGCUAAAAAAAAAGGGAAUGUAUCUUACUAGAAACUUGCUUUUCCACGAAGGUCAAACCAUCAUACAACUUAAUUGAAUCAUACCGGAGCAUAUGAGACUCUUCACGAACAUACCAACAAAGCAUAGAAGCAUGAAAAACCGAAUGAAUAGCUCGAAUGUAGGAGGUAUCGCCAAAUCUUAGGAGUGCUCACCAAUAAUCCACAAAAACUCAAAUGAACCUAUAUAAGUUGUACUAAGCUUGAACCACCUCCUAAAUCGUAUUACAUCAUUCAUAGGGACACUCAAAGGAAUAGUUGAUCACCAAAUCCAAAUCUCAAAGGUCAGCAUCUCAAGUGAGCAUUACUCUUACACGUGCGCUGAGCUAACCUAAGCCUAAACUGAAUAACCCACACAGGAUCUGAGGUAUCUCAAAUAAAAUCAACACCAUGCAACCUAGGCUUAAAAGCCUCAAGCCAACCAAUUGGACAGUGACAAGUCCCACCAUAUAAGGCAUCAAACAUACAUUUAAAUACAAAAGUAAUACAUGUUGUUGUAAAGAAAUACCACCAAAGCUAAGAAUUGGUCUCACUAACCUCCAAAGUACAAUAAAACAAACCACAAUAGAUACUCCAAAACAUGAUGUCUAUGCUUCGGUUGCCCAUCAAUAUGUAGGUGGAAAGUUGCGCUAAGAUCAACACAAGUACCUAACUCUUAUUGAAAUAAACUCCAAAGAGGAGAAGUGAACUAACAACCCUUAUAUGAAAGAAUGGAUAAGAAACCUCGUUAAGACAACCUACUUUCCGUAUGUAGAUAUGACUAAACAAAAGGACACGAACAUGAUAUAUAAUGACAUAGGUUUAUCCACACCUCAAAAUAUCCUUUAUACGAGUUUCAUAUAAAAAUGGGUGACUGGAGCUUCGAACUACAUCACAAAAACAUAUGUCGAGUGUUAUAUAAAUAUCAAAUAAAUGUUACUCUGCGGGCAUCAUAGGUCGACGGAGCUUGAAAAGUAAAAGCAAUAAUGAAAAGUGGAAAAUAAAGCAACUAAAAUCCAUGUAAAUAAUAUAGUAACGAAAAUCCUAACUAAGAAGUGAACGAGCAAUGAAAAGAACAAAAAAUUAAGUAAAUAGCUAUCUAAAACCUAAUUUGAUCCACAAAGCACAUAAGGCAAAAUCAUGGGCAACUUGAAGUAAAAAAAACUCAAAUGUGCCCCCCAUAAGACUGGUGGAUACAUAGAAGAUAUAAGAAACUAAUAGAAAAACUAGAGAACACAUCUAGAAAUGUCAUGAUCUUCCACAGACCAGAAACACAAAAAACACAAAUGAAGAACCCAAAACUGAACCACCAAGUCAUAACUCAAACUCGACUAAAAUGGGUGUGCUGAGACUCGAAUAAAUUCAAAAAUAUGAGUCAGCGCGUUAAUCCGUGACAAAGGACAUAUGCCCUAGACUCUCACCCAGCUAAUAAGUACGUACAUAGGGGCCUCAAACACAAGAUAAAAAAACACAAACUUUGAAUUGUGGAAAAGAACUCCAAAAUCCUUAAUUUUCCAUUGCUAGGUCACAAAUAAUUUAAACCACAUCUCAUAACCACCUCCAAAAUUAAAAAGGAUCCACUCAACUCCAGCUCUAAGACUAGAUACUGAAUGUUGGAUAAAGCCUAAAUUGACCCAUGAACAUGGCAGAGUCGAUCACAAGUGUAAUUUAUGGAUACGUUUCAUAAGAGUUGAGUUUUCACCUAGAUAAGGAUCACACUAUAAGACCAAAGUCUACUGAAACACUCUACAAGAGGAUAAGCAAUUUUGUAGUGAUGUCGCAUCAAUUCUAAGGUAUGUUAUCUUCAAGACAUGAGCGUAAGGCACCACUAGCCUAAAUCUACACUAAACCUAAUAAAAAGAUAUUCACGACCACGAAAUUGUGAGAGAUAGACACCUACAAGGUAAGGCAUGAUCAUGUACAGGAAUAAUCAUACACGAGUCCUUGAAAAUAGGGAAAAUGUCCUAAAGCGUCAUUUCUAACAAAAUAGUCAUGAUAAACUAAAAGAAACCCCCCCCCCCCUUUAGAAAUGCAAUAUGAAUUUACAAUAGUAAGCUCAAUCUAAGGAUCGGGAAGCCGAAGCCUACCUAAAUGCAAACAUCACGCGCUCCAUAAUCAUGAUUUUGAGCUUUUAUUUUCUAAAUGUCCUAUGAUUACUACCAUGCUUUAAAAAGGGGAAUAUAUGACCCACUUUGAGAAUCAUAAUUUGGUUGUGUUAAAAGGUCUAAUUUUAAAAGUUGAUCUUCUGUUCAAAACAAGACAUCAUUCAAUGCUUGGAAGAAAGCAAAAAAAAAUAUGCAAUAAUUCACAAAGAAAAACACCAUCAAAGAACUAGGAAGUCCCCUUUGGGAUGAAAUAUACCUCCAAUUGAUAUCCCUAAUAAAUUCCUGAACUCUCCAAUAUGAAACUCCUCUUAUUCCUUACCCAUGGAUCUUGAAAUCACCCAAAAUAGAGGUGUAAAGCUAUGUAAAAUUAACUUUGAACCUUAGAAAUAGAAUUUUAUCAUGUUUGAUCUUAAUUUAAACUCAAUAGGCUCGUUGAUUACAAAUGUAAGCUUGUAAAUUUCCUUCCCUCGCCUAUUGAUGCAUCAAUUGUUUUGGCUUUAUAUGAUCUUUUAUUGUGACUAUCUAUAGAGCACGAGCUUCUUGAGCCAAAUGGGACUGAUUGACGGAGUCAAUUUUUAAAUUCCUUUUGUGGAUCGCACAAUGACUUUUUGACUCAUUUUUAGUCCCUCACCCCUAAAUUAUUGUAAAUUUGGGUGUCAAAAAUGCAUAUUGUCGUCAUGGUCAUUUAUUUUUAAUGUGACAUUAUUUAUUUUAGUAGGUUAAAUCUCUUUACUAGUAGAUUUUAGAGUAGGUGCAAUUGAUAUUGAGGUAGCUAUGACUUACCAAUCGUAAAUUAAGUUUAUGUUUGUACUUACAUGUGUUUAGCUAGUUAUUGAAAGUUUCUUAGCAUGUCUGAUAUUUAUUAGAUAUAAAUCUUGUCUUAACCAACCUAGGGGGUAAUUUCGAGGGAACUAAGCAUGUUUAUCUUGUUUAUUCUGUUGUAUCAUGCAAUGGUUUAGCUCUAUGCUUUCGUGUAUGGUUAAUUAUGACUUAUUUUUGGACUUAGCCUAGGCAUAAGCUAGUGAUUACCUUAAUUAGAGUUCUAUGUUGAGCUUUUAUGUCUUAAAAAUCCUCUACUGUCGUUCCGGAUGGUUAUAACUUCUUGAAGUCAGGUGUAGCGAGCUUGAGUCUGGUAGCAUAAAUACUUAGAUCAAUCAGAACUCUCCUCUUACUAAAUUUAUCCAUAACUUCCCUAUGAUGUGGCCCUGACGUGUUUGAGUUGUGAUUUUAGGCCUUUUUUGUUACAUUGGAUCAGGACAUUGAUUUGUAGCUGGAGUGGGUCUCUUGUUAUUUAGAAAGAGGUCUAGUUCUAUGAAGUAUUCCUACAUUAUGAAUAAUAUGUGAUUAUGGAAUUCUAUAAAGUGUACUAGCCAAAUUUAAGGUCCGGGCACACUUCUACUAGUCAUUGUUUGAGGCUCGUGCACACUUUCACUUGCCGCAAUUUGAUGUUUGAGCACACUUAUUGAAGCCACAUUUUGAGUCUGAGCACACAUUUAUUAGUUGUAUUGUACUCUUGAUAUGUUUGUUCAAUUGGAUUCUUUAGGGUGUAUUCAUCGUGGUUCAAGAUUGGGGUCGUUUCAACUCUAGAUUAUACUUAGUCAUAGACAGGGAUACCAUUAUCUCAUUUUUGCACUCAUUCGGCUUGUUGGGUCCAUUUGGGUUGUUUACCUUUAAAUUCCACACAUGUGUGCCUUCUGAGAUUAUAGGGUCAAGUUAUGUUUUAGAUAGCUACUUUACUUUACCGCUCCAUUACAUCUAGACUAUUGAGCUGUACAGUUAAACUUAUUGUUAUUGUUACAUUUAUAUGACAUUUUUUACCUACCAUAUAUUUCCUAGAUUAUAUAUUUUCGUUCCGAAAUCAGUCAACCUAUGAUUCCUAGUGGUACAUGUUUUUUUGUACUUAUGCUGCACAUUGUGUCUAUUUUUUUCUACUGCAGAUCCGAGCGUUAGCCGAAAACUUUAAUUGAUGUGCAACAGUGAGGAUAAAAUAUAAUCUUUUUUGAAGAUAUCACACAACAAUUUCUCUUAUAAUGAGAUAAAUGAGGGAAAAAUAUUUUGGUUGAGAAAUAUAGGAAGAGUGAGAAUGUAUCAAUGGGCGAGAAAAAAUAAUUAGGGAAAGAAUCAAUCUACCUUUGUAAGAUUAAUAGUAAAUUAGGAUCUGAGGAAUUUAUAGGAAGAGUGUUGAGUUUUUCAAUGGGUUAGAAAAUUUAUUUGGAGAAAGAAUCAAUUUAUUUAUGAGAUUCAUAUUAAACGAGGUGGAGAAUAAGGAAACAUUUGUUUUGUGAUUUGAAAGGAAAUAUUAAUGCUGGCAUUAUAUCUUGUAAUUUCUUUGUUCUACUUAUUUUUUCUACAUUUUAUUUUCUUUAAAAUAUUUUUGAUAUUUUAUUUUUUCUUAUGCGCCUUUAAUUAAGGUUAAUAUUUCUAGUACUAAUUUAGAAUAUGAAGGCUAAACGCUGAUAUUAACAUUUUCAAUCUAUAUAUAAUAUAAAGGUGGGUAAAAGAAAAGUGAUGUGGCGUCUCUCUUUGACCAAGAAUCCUAUUUAUCUUUUUAUCCUUUCUUUUAGUAACUUUUCCUAUUUAUUUAUUCGUUUCUUGUUAUUAUACAAAUAUAAACUUCUAUAUUACUACUCCUUCAUUUAUUCAUUUCCUUAACAUAAAAACUUAAUUGUAUUUAUUUUCAUCAAUCUUAUGACUUUUUUUUCCAGAUCUCCUGACUUUUGAGUGUCAUAACUUUACAUAUAUUACGAGGGGUUUCUGAAAAUUUCAUAGCUAAUAAAACUAAUUUAAUGAAUGGGUGAACUUCAAUUUUGUAAACUAUGUAACAUUAAUGAUGAAUUUUUUUAAUUAAAAAUCUAUCAAAAAUAUUAAGAUCAAACUACAUAUAUUUAGCUUUAAUGUUCACGUUUAUUUGAUAGAAAGUGAACAUACAAAGUUAAAAGAGACGGAAAAUUAAGUUUAGAGUGAAAUCACUUUUAUGAUUCAAGAUUUCAUGAAAAUUAAAAAUAAAGAGUAGAAUCAAACGAGUUAUAUUUAAAAUAAUUCUAUACAGAGCCUUCUAACUUUUAGUAGCUUUAUGAAAUAAAUAAAUAGGAUUUUCUUAUUAACAUUAAUUAAAUAACUACUUUUAAAUUUUAUUUAAACUUUUGAUCAAAAGAAAAAAAAAUCAAAAGUCAAAUAACACAUUUAGGGGAAUCAAACUUGGACAAACCAGGUUGCAAAUGACAUAGCUUGAGUAGAAUGACCAAAACCACUAAGAUAAGAAACUUUAUUAUUUUGUCAAGAGUGUCCAAAAUGUGUUAUUUAACCAUAUAAAAUAUCAUUUUACUUAUAAGUACAUUGUAAUUUUAUGAAGAGGCUUUUCCCCAAAUGGUAGAUACGUCCUUUGUAAAUUGAAAAAAAAAAACAAUUAAGUUUAUAUUUGAAGAAAUUAUUAAAUGAAGUAGUAGUAAUUGACACAUUUAUUUUUGUAUAAUAAUAAGCAAUAAUAAAAAAAAUAGGAAAAAUAAUCAAAAAAGAUGAAAAUGUUAUUUUUCUUCUUUAUUUUUAUCCUUUUUGUCGAUAAAAACUUUUUUUUUCAUUUAUAGAUGUAAUCUAUUAGUAGAAUGAUUUUUCGGUGAAAUUACAAAGUACAAUUGACAAAUUAAAUAAAGAAAAUAAAAUUUUAUUAUGGUUGGGCCAAAUAUCUCAUUCUCUUUAAGAAGAUUCACACCCACUAUAACAAAUGUUUUCACAAGUACAACAAUCGUUAUGUUCAGUGGUCCCCUUCAUGAUACAACAAUCAAUUCACAGAGUAUAAAUUGUGGACAAAGAAUUGACUCCAAAGCUCCACACAAAAAAAACUCAGGUCAACUAAUAAGAACUCUCAUUGAUUAACUUUUGUGCAUUCUCUAUUUUCUUGUACUCAAACUAAGGAAGGUCAUCACUAUUUAUAGGUAAUGAAUUAAUUCUUGCUUGCAAUGAAUAUGAACAUAAUAGAGAAUUAAAUAAAAAAGAUAAUUGGCCUAUAGGUUACAUAAGUUAAUAACGAGUGAAACACUGAAGUUUAAAUUAAUUAAUUAAUGGACAUGACUUACCAUAUUCAAUCACUGGACAAAAGGAAAUUGAGCCAAGUUAGCAUUAAUAAGGAGUAUAAGUAACAAUAAAAUACCCACAAAUGGUAGGAAAGAUCAGCCACUAAAACAGAUGGGAAGGCACUAUCUUUGUGCUCCAAAAUAAGAAAAUUUUUUGUCAAUUAUUAAUAUUAAAAUGUUAAAGACCAAUAAUCACAUCGCUCGUUUUAAUAUUUUAUAAGUGAGUCUAUAUAACGACCAGUUUCUUCUUUAUAGAAAAGCCAACAAGGAAAAAUAUUGGGUCAGAAAACUUUUUUGUAGUAACUUGAAAUUUCCGAAGCAAGUCAAGAUUUGGAUGAAAUUAGAGUCAAUAACCUCUAGGUAAUCUGGUAACAAUUGGGUGAUCUAAUUAAGAAUUUGAUCACACCAGUAGAUAGAUAAGUCAUUAAGGAACCGAACGACUUCACAUAAAUGAAUUCAGGCGAGUAGAACUCCUAGAAUUGAUCUUAGCGUAAACGUUUUGUUUCUAAAUGUCGUUGGUUGAAACUGUAUUGUGAAAUGGGGUCUUGAAAUUAUUAAUUUUUCUCAUUAGUUCCAUAAAAGACUUUGAGGCGGGAUUUCUACUGUUAGGGCUCGGGAUGGGUACCGCCAUGGCAGGGCAAACAGGACUUAAAGUCGUAAAUAAACCACAAAAGUAUUUUAUUUUGCAAUUUUAAAACUUGAGAGCUAAGGAACGAACACAGGGUUUUCUUGACUGUCUUUUAUCAUUCUUGAUGCUAAAGGUAAAAGUUUAACUCCCGAAUACAUUUUUUGAUCCGUAAAACGUCAUCUAAUCGGUAAUUAUCGACGGAUAAAGGUUUUGAUCUGGAAAUAAUGGUGAAGAAAGCCCUAAUCUUGGUAUGGGGAUCAUGGGUAUGAUAUAGGGUUGAUAGAAUUGUUAGUUAUUCAGGUUAUUAGUUAUUGUUUAUUGAGUUUCGUAUUAUAUUGAUCUUUUGUAGACCAAGAACAAGUGUAAAUAAUCAAGAAAGUGAAGAGUUAAGUUUUUAGGGGAUUCAAGCAUGAUCGGGGUAGGUGAUGGUUGUGAUUAUAUGAAUGUGUGAUGCAUAUUUGUUCUUGCUUCAUUAUUAAAUGUAUAUAUGUGAAUGUUUCAUUAUUGAUCACAUUUAUUAUAAAUGAGAUAAAUAAAUGAUGAAUUCUAUGGAUCGUGAUUUGAUUAUAUGAUCUCGAGAGUAUACUUUUGAUUGUGAUUGUGUCUUGUUGAAUUGAUCGAGUGUUGCGUUCUGACACACUAACGUGGAUUAGUUUCCAUCUUCUAGCAUAAUUAUGGAAUCGAUUGCCACAUUCUGGUAUAAAACAUUGGAUCUGGUACCACAUCAGGGUAUCCUAACAGUUUGGGUUUUGGUUGCACGAGAGGACCAAUGAUUUUUUAUAAUGGUGUAUUUUGAGAAAUGUGAAAUUGUACGUUGUUCAUAAAUUUUGAUGAUAUUAUGUAUAUUCGUUGUACGCGUGUGAUUGUUAUGUUGUAUUAACUUAUAUAUGUCGCACUUAGAGGGGUGGUAGCGUGAUCCUACUAGUACACUAUUGUUGUGUACAUAUACUGCACUUGCUCUUUCUUUGUUCAGUAAAGGAUAUUUUCAAGCGGCUAUUGACAGACCUCGUUUAGAAGAUCAGUGAUCGUCUAUCAAAUUCAAGAGUGAGCCAAUUCUUCUUUCCUGCCAUGAGAUCUUCUUCUUUUUAUGUCCACAUUUCAGACUUAGAAUUUUCUAAUUAUAUAUAGUGUUAUUAGCUUUGGGUUAAGACCCUUCUUGUUAGUCUUAUGGAUCUUGUAAGAAGUUUUGGUACAUUUAUUUCAAGUUCUAGGCGUAUUAUUUCUUCAUUGCUUAGUUCUUAGAUCUUUUGGAAGCAUAUGAAAACUUCAGUUUUUAGUUACUUAAAUUGCUUUCGUAAUUCAAAUGGUUUGGUAUUUGGAUUAAUUUGGUUAGCUAAUUAGUAUAAAUGGUUCUCCCAUAUGAGGGUUAGUGUCGGUGUCAAUCACAAAGGUCUGGGUUGUGAAUAACUUGGUAUCAGAGCCUAGAUUCGUUGAUCUUGAUGUACCAAAGAAAUUCUAGUCGAGUCUUGCGAAACGGUGUAGAGACACCUUUACUUUUCUUCGAGAGACUAUCGGGCUUUAGGAAAUCUCCGUGUUUUCUCCUGUCUCCUUUGUGCUAUAAAUUGAUUCCAAUUGGUAUCUAUCUAUUCGAAUUGGUAUCAAACCUCUUUCGCUUUUCUUUCCAUGAAAGGUUAACACUAUAUUCAUUGCGCGUCUAACUUGUAGCUCCCCUCAAUUAUCUAGCUAAGGAAUCUACAGUGAGAGGUCGCAGUCGAGACAAUGGUAGAUAAAGAGAUAAGGGUAGAUAUUGAGGAAGAAUAACGCCUAAUAGAGAUGCGGUAAUUAUUGAAAGUGCUCCCCAAAACGAGGUCACACCCGUACAUCAUGAAGAGAUAGAGGAAAAUGUUAAGGUUAAAAAUAUUGAGGAGGUCGGACAAGAGGAAGAGGUACAGGCUGAGACAACAUGCAAUCUUUCAUUGACCCAUUGUUAGCUUAACAGAUCAUGUCAUACCUAAAAGGGUUAGUUUGUACUAGAGUGUUACCUUCUGUUCAAGCAACUCAAACUCCUACCAAUUCUCCUAUGGCUAUCACCUUUCUUAAGGCAGGUGGAAUUAGAGGUAAUGAUGCUUUCUUUUGCCCUCUGUUGGGUCCUAUUAUGACUGGUAAUGAACAUGAGAUGUUGACCAAGUUGUUGAAGUUGAAAACUGCCUAUGUUCCAUGGUUUUGAGAGUGGAGAAACAUAUGAGUUCAUCCUAGAUUGUUAUGAGAGGAUUCAUAAGUUGGGAAUUGUACAUCAGCAUGGGAUUUGGUUCGUGACUUUUCAACUUCAAUGAUAAGGUUAGUAGUGCUGGAGAUCUUAUAUAGAAUGCAGAUAUUCAAUUUUACUUCACUUACUUGGACCAGAUUUCAUGCUCUAUUUUUGGAGAAAUAUAUGCCUAGAACUUUUAGGGAUAGUAAGAAGGACGAAUUCCUGGCUUUUGAGGAACGUGGUAUGACUAUGGCUGCUUAUGAGGCUAAGUUCCAUGCUUUGUCUAGAUAUUCUACUCAAUUGGUGAAUCUUGAGGAUGAGAGAAUUUUUUUUAUUUAUUAAGCGAUUAAAUUCUCAAUUGCAGGUAUUAUCUAUUGAUAUUACCUAUUAAGGAAAGAGCUUUAAUAAUGUAACUUUGCUAAGAAAGUGGAAGGGGUGACGCGAGACGGUCAGGUUAAGGCAUUAGAAAAAAGGGAUAAAAACUUUGUAACUUACAAGGUUUAUACUCCAAAGGGGCAGGGAGGCCAACACUUGUAGCUAGACCAAUUCAGUCAACCAUGCCCCGCCUAUACAAUCAACUACUCGGGAACUCUACCUCAUAAUUUGAUAUAGGACAAAUAGGGAGUCUCACCUUUGACAGGAGGCUCACCAUCAUUUCAUCGUACGUUCUAAGAUUAUGGACAACCUGGGAUAUACGGAGAGAUUAUCCCAACCCACGUGUGUUGGAUUAGGUGCAGAAAUGGACUAGAAUAGUGGUACCCGCAAGAAUUGGUAUUAAUAGUCAAGAAAGUCCACAUGGUCGGCGAGGAGAAAUCAGAGAGGCUACGGAGGUAGAGGAAAUGGUAACACAGGCAGGGGUAAUGUGAAACUAGCCAGGAAAGUGACAAGACAUGAAGGUAUGGUUGAGUGUUAUGCUUUUUCGGGAAAAGAUGAGGCAGAGGAGCCUGACGCAGUGAUCAGAGGUAUUAUUCUUGUCUGUGACCGGCUGGCUAAUGUGUUAUUUGAUCUGUGUUCUAAUUAUUCUUAUGUAUCUGUGCGAUUUUCCUCAAAGUUUGACAUGAUUUGUGAUAUACUUUAUGCCCCUAUACAUGUUUCUACCCCAGUUGGAAAGUCUUUCAUAGUCACACAUGUCUAUCGUGCUUGUCCUAUUUUGUUUAUGGGUUAGCAAACUUGGGCUGAUUUAGUUAUUUUUCAUAUAAUUGAGAGUGAUAUAGUCUAAGGCAUGACUUGGUUAUCCUGCUAAUAUGUUAAGCUUAACAGUAAUACUAAGUAUGUAACUCUAGAAAUUUAGGGAAGAGAAAAAUUAUAGGUGGGAAAGGGUGUACAAGCCUAAGCAUGCAAAUAUCAUAUCCUCAAUUUGGGUUAUAAAAUUGGUAGUGAAGGUUUUUUUUUUUGAUAAUUUGGCUCAUAUCCCAGAAGUUGAGGUUGAGUCUCUAUCUAUUGAAUUCAUCACACUGGUGUCAAAAUUUAGAGAAAUGUUUCCUACAGAUUUGCCUGGUAUGCCAUUGGAUAGGCAUAUAGAUUUUUGCAUUGAUUUAGAGUCUGGUACUCGUCCUAUUUACAUCCCUCCAUAUCGCAUGGACCCAAUGGAAUCACGAGAUCUUAAGGCUCAAAUCCAAGGUCUUCUUUAUGAAGGAUUUAUUCAUCCUAGCACUUCUCCAUGGGGUGCUCCAUUCUUGUUUGUUAAGAAAAAAAUGGUAGUAUAAGAAUGUGUAUCGCUUUCCGGCAAUUGAAUAGGGUCGCUAUUUGAAACAAAUACCCUUUGCCUCGUACAAAAGAUCUUUUUAACCAAUUUCAAGGUGCAUUAAUUUUCUCCAAGAUUGAUCUAAAGUCCAGCUAUCAUCAGUUAGUAUUUGCAUUGGUUUUAUCAUAUCUGUGGUUAAAUCGAUCUUUAUGACUUGUAUAAUUGGUUUUAUCUCAUCAAAUAAUAUCUCUGCUGGUGCGGAAUAAAACUUUAUAUAAAAUAAUGUUCCUUUAGAAAUUCUUUUAUAGUUCAUAAAGGCUUUGUAUAGCUCUGGUAUUGUAGAUAUUUCAUCUCCUGUUUGGGUAUAAACUGUACUAAGCAAUCCAUAACUAUAACAUGUUUUUACUAGAUUUGCAUUAGUACCUGGUUGUGCUAUUAACUUAUUAUAUCCUUGUAGCUUUUGGGUUAUAAAAUCAGUAUUAGGGUCUUUGGUAGUUGGAGAUUUCGGUGUUGAGUUUAAAUAAUUUUGAAUUUUAUAAAGGUUCUCAAUAUAUGAGCGGGUUAUGUGGUUGUAGGCUUUUUUUUUAUCUUGGCUUAAACUUUCUGAGUAAGUAGUUAUUUGUGGUGGUAUAAAUAAUGAGUUUUUUUGGUUCUUUGGAAUAAAUGAUUUAUCGAAGAUUUUGUUUAUAUUUGAAUUUAAAUAUCUUAUUUCACUGACUCCUUUUGUUGUAGAUGUGCUGGUUGUAGCUGCAUUUAAACAAACAUUGUCAUGGAUUUUAUGGAGUUUUCCAACGUCUCCUUGUAGCUCUGAAAUUUUUCUGUCUUCCGAUCGACAUAGCUCCGCAUUUUUAUAGUCAUGCUGCUGACUUAUAUUUUUCAUCUUUUGUAAUUCUUUAUCCAUACUGUCCACUUUCGUAGAAAGUGUAGUAAUGGCUUUGAGUAUUUCUCCCAUUGUAUAUUUUUCUGGUUCAGUUUGGGUUCCUUUUUCUUGAUAGGUAGUCUGCAACAAGAUUCUUGUCAGUCUUAAUUACUUCAAUUGUAAAUGUAAAAUUUAAUAUAUUCAAUACUAAUCUCCUUAUUUAUUUUGUUGUAACUGAAUCUUCUACCUUUUUUGUUAUCCACCAUUUUACCUGUGUAUUAUCUGUUCUUACAAUAAAUUUAUUGUAAACAAUACAUAGUUCAAAUGCUAAUAAACAUUUAUAUAAUGCAAAUAACUCUUUUCUAUUUAUUUCCCAUUUUAUUUGUGCUUCUGCAUAAGAUCCUGAAUAAUAUCUACAAUUGUGUUCUAUUUUUUCCUUUUCAUAUUUGUAUUUAUAACUCCUCCAUAACUAUGAUCACUUGAAUCUGUUUCAACAAUAUAAGUAAAUGUUUUAUUUUCAUCAGGAAAGUAAAGUUUUGGUAAUUUCUUACAUAAAUUCUUAAUAUUUCUUAUAUGUUCUUUAUCUUUAUUGUCGAAAUAGUAUUCUACAUCUUUUUUAAGUUUUUUGUGUAAUGGUUUUAAAUGCUCUGCUACUUUUGGUAUAUAUUCUCUUACUUGAUUUACUAAUCCUAGAAAGGAUUGUAAUUUCUUUUUUGUAUCUAUAUUUUCAUCAAAGGUGAUUAUUUUUUGUACUAUAUGGUUUUGCAUUUUUAUUCCAUUCCUAUCUAUUUGUAUUCAUAGAAAUUCUAUCUGUGGUUUCAUAAUUUUUGCUUUCUAUUUACUUACACUUAUACCUGAAUGUUUAAUUAUAUGUAUAAAUUUUUCUAAUAAUCUUAUAUGUUCAUCUUGUGUUUUAGAAUAUAAUAAUAUAUCAUCUAUAUAUACAAUACAAUUUUCUAACUGGUUAAAAUAGUUAUCCAUAAAAUGUUGAUAUCUACCUGGUGCAUUCUUAUAUCCAAACGGUAAUACAUUCCAUUCAUAGAAACCUUGCGGUACUGUGAAUGUUGUUAGCUGUUUAGAUUCUUCUUCUAGCUUUAGGUGAUAAAAUCCUGAUUUAUAAUCGAAUUUACUGAAAUAAUUAUAUCCUUGUAUUUGUCUUAAUUUUAGUAUUUUAUUUGAUAUUGGGUAGUUAUAUGUUUUAGUUGUAGCAUUUAAGUUGCGAUAAUCUAUAACCAUUCUGCUUUUACCUCUUUUUUGUUCACUAUGUUUUAUAACUAUAAAUGUUGGACUUGUAUGUUUACUAUUGCUUUCUUGUAUGUAAUUAUUUUCUAAUAGUUCAUCUAUAUGUAUUUUGAAUUCUUUUAAAUCAUCAAAGUUAUAUUUUAAUGGUUUCUGUGUUAUUAUACUAUUUUCAUCUAUUAGUUCAAUUUUUACUUUUGUCUUAUGUUUUUCCCAUCCUUGUAAUGGAUCUUCAUUGUAUAAUUGUUCUAGUUGUUCAUUAAUUAUUCUAACUUUGUCUAUUAUAAAUAUGAUAAUCUCUAAUUGUGUUAUUUGUUUCUUAUUUAUAUUUUCCAUUUCCUAUCUAAAACUUCCGGCAUAAACAAGACCCCAAAAGAGCUGGACCAAACCACAAGAACCUAUGCAUAGUGUGUAAGAGACUAUUCCCAAGUCUUAAACUUGUGGCAUUUUCAUCACGUGAUAAUAACUUUACCAGUUACUUCAAAUCCGAUCACUCCCUCUAAAAUAUCUAAAUUACUCAUAACAUAACAUCUCCAAAAUGCUUUUUCUUUUGCUUUUUUUUAUAAGACUAAAAAUAUCGAGGAAAGACAAUGUGCAUUCUAUAGGUUUUCGUUGUUUAUUAUUUAGUCUUUUUGCUCCUAUCUUGUUUCCGCAUGGUGUAGUAAACCACCAAUGUGUUUUUGUUAUUACAUGUGGGUAAAAUCUAUCUAGAAAUGACAUUCCUAAUAACAUGUCUUUUGUCGUAAAUUCAAAAUUGUACAUUUCUUCUAUUGUUAAUAUUUUAUCCCAUAUUUGCAUUUUUAUAUUUUUUGCUUUGUAUUUAAUCAUACUUCCUUCAUUAUUAAAUCAUGUUUCUACCAUAGGUGUUUUUAAUUUUUCCCAUUUAUCUUCUGGUAGACAAUUAUAUUUACAUAUAUUCGCUUCUGAUCAUGUAUCUAUCAUAGGGGUAUAAUAUCUGUUGUGAUAUCCUUCUACAAUAAUUUUUGCAAGUAUAAAUAUUUUCAUUAUUCAUUUUGUUCUUUUUAUAAUUAUUUUCUUAUUUUGGCAAGUUAUUGUUAAUUGUUCAUUUUCUAUAUUAUACGGUUUAACUUUUUCUAACCAUUUUACACCCAAUGUAAUAUUAUGAUUUCCUUGGUAUAUUUUAAAUGGUAUUAUUAAGGGUAUUCUUCCUAUAAUUAUUUCUUUUUCCGUUGUUUCUUCAUUUAUGUUUACUAUCUCACUAGGUAAUCCAGGGCAUAUGUGUCCUGUUUUUAUAAUUUCUUCUUCUAAUACUAACUCUCUUGUUAUGUAAUUUUCUUCUUGUCUUGUAUUUAUCAAAAUUUUAUAUUUUCUUUGGUCUAAUAUUCCUGUUAUGAAAUAAUGAUAUAGUGUUAUUUCUUCUCUAUCUAAUAAAUUUUGUGGUAUUUCAUAGUUUCUUUUAGAUGUACUCAUUCUUGAUGAGAUAGCUCUUGUUAACGUAUUUGGUACGCUUGAAGUGCUUAAUCUUUCUUUAACAAUUUCUAAAUCUUCUUCUAUGUCAAUUUCUUUAUAGCUAUAGUCAUUAUUAUUUAUUACAGUAAUUCCUUUUUCAAAAGGAUUUUCUAUCUUUAUUUUAUCAAUUUUAUUUCUUGUUGUUAUUUUAUGCUUUGUUGUCAAUAUAUAUAGGUUUUUACAUCUUGUUGUAAAUACUUUGUUGUCUGGUGCUAGUUCUAUUUCAGACAUUUUCCAAUAUAGAACUAAUGAUUUAUCUAUAUUUCUAUCUGUUAAAUGCUACUGUAUAAUUGAUGCUUAUUAUAAAUUUAAAUUUUUGAUAUAUUAGGUUUCCUUUUACUGCACUAAUUACGUUUUUUUCUAUAGGGUGCAUAAUUUUAUCAUCUGCUAAAUAUAUUUCAAUAGGUGUAUCUAUUCCUUCUCUAAAACAAGCUUUUAUUAAUAUUUCUGUUCCCCCUAAAUGUAUAUAUUUUAUUGGUGUUUUAGCUUUUAUAUCUUGUAUUUCUUGUUUUAUUAUUCGUUUACUUAGUAUAGGUAUAUGUGAUUUUCCUCUUGUAUAUUUGCAAUCUAUGAUAUGUUCUUUCUGACUAACUACAUAGUAUUUUUCUUUUUGUCUCUUAAAUCAAUUUCUUAAAGUAGGUAUUUCAAGUAAUUUUUCAACACUUAAAUUUAAUUCUUUUCCUUUUAUUUGUUCAAAUAUUGUAUUAUCAAAUAUAAUUUUUUGUUCUGAUAAUUCUUCAUUUUGAUAAUCUUCUUUGGAUAUUAUUUUUAUAUCGUCUUCAGACAUUAUAUUUCUUCGUCUAUUAUAUCAUUAUCUAGAUUAAUAUAUUCUUCUUCAUUUUCUGUUUUUAUGUCUGAUACUUCAUAUAUACUAUCAUUUUGACUUAGUUCAUAGUCUAUAUAUUCUAUUUGCAUAUAUUUGUCACUAUCUAUAAUUAUUUCUGCAAAUUUGUUUCCUUUUAGGGUCUAUUGGUAACUUACAAUCUCUAGCUAUGUGUCCAAUCUUUCCGCAAUUAUAACAUGUACAUUGGGAUAUUUUUCUUUUUGGUCUAUAUGAUCUUUUCAUUUUAUAAUUUUUUACAUAAUAUCUUUGACUUGGUUUUUUGUAUUUAUACAUAGUUUUGAUUUUUCUAUAAUUUUUAUAUUGCCUAGAUUUUUUCUUUUUAUAAUUUUUAGUUAUACAUCCAAACUGUGGUGCUGUUUUAUUUUUACAACUGGCUAAAUUUUUGUUUAGUACUUUUUUCAUUUUUCAUUUUUCUUUUUGGUUUUCACAUAGUUGUAUGAACCAUUGAUGUAAAAAAUUUAUUCUUGCUCCUAAAGUAUCUACUAAUCCUUCAUCAUUCCAAUCUUUUAUUACUUUUGUACUAAAUGGUUUUGGUAAUUUCGUAAAAUAUUGUUUUCUUAUUUCUUUUGCUUCAUCAAAAUUGUAUUUUGCUUUGUAAUAAUAUGCUUUAAAUGCACAAGUGUAUUCUUCUAUAUAACACAUUUUACAUAUAGCUAAUUUUGUCAUAAGUUGCCUAUUUAUUGUUUUUUCUCUAUUUUGUUCUCUUAUAUCCGUGGUCAAAUGUAACGACCCGUUUAGUCGUUUCGAGCAACAGACUUCAAUUCUGGAAAAACAGGCUGAGGCGACCGACCAAACGACGAUCCGUCAUGGGCACGACGGACCGUCGCAGGGUCUCAUUUCAAAACACUUAGAAAAUCUGAAAUUGGGUACUAAAAAUCGACUCUCUGAACUUUGUGACGGAAUGGCAGGACGGACCGUCACAGGUGUGACGGACCGUCACAGACCCUUGGUGGAAAUUUGGGUCUCUGAACUCUACGACGACCUGCAGGACGGACCGUCGCAGGCACGACGGCCCGUCACAGGUUGCGCAAAUCCCAGGCAGAGUCGGAUUUCUGGUUAAGUUUUAAGGAACGUUUUUGACUAUUCUUGCCUUAAUUAUAAAGUUCGUGGAUUUAUAUUAAUAACUCAAAUUCUUGAGGGGUUAAAAGAGGUAACCCUAAGUUAAUUAGUGGGGUAUUAUUGCCAUCUUUUAUUCUUAAUUAUAUACUAAUUAGGGUAAAAGAAAGAGGGUUGGAAUAAAGAAAAUAGAAAGAACAAGAGAGAGAGGGAGAAUCGAACGAGAAGGGAGAAACAAAGCUUGGAGAAAGAUUUGCUAGCUUGAUCACUAAUCUUCGGUGGAGGUAGGUUAUGGUUUUCAUGCUUUCAUAGUAAACUCUUAAUAGAGAAUGAUAUGUAUUGGUAGUAUUGUAAACCCUACUAUAUGCUUAAUUGUAUGUUUGCGUGAAUAUGAUUAUAUGAUUGUGAUAAGAUAAGCAUGAUGAAAAUAUUGAAUCCCAAAUCUUGAAAGGAAACUUUAAUAUACAUCAUUAAUGAUGAUGCAUUGGUAUAGAAGAAGGCUUGAUGAAUUAAAGUAAUGGGAUUGAUGAUGCCUUGGUAUAGAGAAGGCCUGAUGAUUUACAGAAUGAUGUAGGGGAUCGGGUGUCACGAAACGACACGUAGAAUUAGGGGAUCGGGUGUCACGAACCGACACGUAGAAUUAGGGGAUCGGGUGUCACGAACCGACACGUAGAUAUAGGGGAUCGGAGUGUCACGUACCGACACAAGAGGAAUAAUGAAUAUGAGGGAUCGGAGUAUCACGUACCGACACAAGAGAAUUAAAGAUAAUGAAUCUUGAAAGAUGUUAAUAUACUCAAUCUAACGAACAUAAUUCCCAAAUGAGUAUGGUGUUGAGGCUUGAGCCCUCAUGGAUGAACUUGUUGUGGCUACAUGUUGAGUUUUAUAGUUGAUUUACGAUAAUAUUGAUAUAUACUGUUCCCUAUUUUGAGUUGGCCGAUGAUAUCUACUCAGUACCCGUGUUUUGUACUGACCCAUACUUUUAUGUUUUCUUCUUGUUUAUUUGUGGAGUGCAGCAAACGUGUCAUCGUCUUCAACUCAACAGUAAUUCAAGCCAGUCUUACUACAUCAGAAAUUCAGGGUGAGCUAAUGCUUCUAGCUUGGACUGGAUCUUCUUCUUCAAGUUUUGAUGCCUUGAACUUCCGGCAUGGACUAGCUUCUUAUGUAUUUUUAGCUUUUAGAAUACUCUUAGUUUAGUCAUUUGAACGUAGAUGUUCUUGUGAUGAUGACUUCCAGGUUUUGGGGAUGGUAAUAAUAGUUUUGAAUUGUUUUUAUUAAUGAGUUUAAGUCUUCCGCAUUACUUUCUGUUGAUAUACGUUGAAAUGUUAAGUGUUAGAUUGGUUGGUUCGCUCACAUAGGAGGGUAAGUGUGGGUGCCAGUCGCGGCUCGGAUUUGGGUCGUGACAUCAUACCACCAAAUUCGUUUCUUAUUGCUGAUUCAUAUUUAUCUAGUAUAUUUAUAUUUGUUGUUGAUGGAGAUCCAUCUAUUUUCUUGUCACUUCUAAGUACUUCUAAACUUUCUGAAGGUAGAUUUUCUAUCCAUAGUCUUGUUGUUCCUACAAAUGUUCUUUCUAUAUACCUUGGUGUUUUUGUAGUUUUUAUUUUGUUAUCUAUUAGUUGCUUAGAUAUAUUUCCUAUCCAUAGUAAUAUUGCUUUAUUUAUAUCUGUAACACAAUCUAGAUCUAAGAAAUUAUAUUGUUCGUUUAUUGGUUUUGGUAUCCAAUUUUUAUUUAAUCUACUAUUCCAUAUUGCGUUAGUUCUAUCUGAUUGCUGAUAACUUUCUGUAUAAUAAGUUGGUGGUGUCCAUCUAGGACUAAUUCUAGGACUAUUUCUGGGACUAUUGUCUGGAGUUUUAACUCUUGACGUACUAGGUCGAUUCAUAUCUCCUGUGUUUAUUUCUAGUUUUUUCGGUUUAUUUACCUGUUCUAGAAUUUCUGUGUAUGUCUCACUUAUAUCACUUAUUUUUGAUUUUUGGUCAUUUAUUGUAUCUGAUUCUUUUUCGUCUAUUUCAUUUAUUUCAAGGUCUCCAUUUAGUUUUUGUUCCAUCUCUUUUAUUUCAUUAGUUAAUUCUAGUUCUUUUUCCUUUUCUAUCUGUUUCUCUUUUUGUUUAGUUUCAUAUAAUAAUUUUAACCUAGCUAAUUCUUUUUCUAAAUCACUUAUUCUUGUAUUUUUUAUUUCUUCUAAAUGUUGUACUUCUUGUUUUGCUAGUAUUUUUAUUUUUUCAAUUUCUUUUGAUUUGUCUAUUUCUUCAUUUUCUUUUGUUAUUCUUAUCAUAGUUGUUAGACUUAUCUUCUAAUUUUGUUGUUUCUUUUUCUAAUAUUAAAUAUAAAUUAUUUACUAUUUUUUUAUAUAGUCUUCCUAGGUUUUGAAAAUAUUAUUUUUAUUCAUUAUAAUUUAUAAAUUAUGUUAUAUUGUAAUUUAUAUUCAAGGUGAUCUAUUUGUAUUUCUAACAUAAAUAUAACUUUUCUUUGUGCUAUUAUUGAUUUAUUACAUACUCCUGCUAACAUGUUUUCUAUUAAUCUUUCUUUCCUCUGUUGUAGUUCUUGUCUUUUUUCAUCUAUUUUUCUUAUCAGUUGUUGCCUAUAUAUUUCUUUGUUCAUACUGUUUUUUCAAAUAAGAAACAUAUUUGUAUUCUGUUUUUGAAAUUAUAUUUAUCAAAUAAUUUGUCUUAUCGUUUUUAGUAAGUUGUGAUAGUUCAUAUUCUAUGUAUAAGGGUUUUAAUUUUUUCAAUAUCUUUCGUACUUUUUUAUUUAUCUUGGUUUUUGUUAUUUUAGUUUCUUUGCUUGUUGUAUUAUUCAUUUAUAUUUUUCUCUACAAAAUUUUAAAAAGUUUACUUAAUUUGUUUGGGUCUUUAAUAAAUUUUAUCUUAUAAAUAUUAUUACUUCGUUUUUUGUCAAAUUUCAAACCUUUUUGAUUUAAUCAUUAUAUUUCUAAUUCUAUUUUAUCAUAUUGAUCUAUGUUUUCAUUAGCUUUUACCCAAUAUAUACAUUUUAUCAUUGAUCUCUGAAUAUCUCUAGAUCAUCAUAUAAAUCAUUUAUGUCAAAAUAAAAAUCAUCUUAAAAUUUAUCUUGUAUAUCUAAUUCAAUCCAACCUUGGGUUGUUAUUUCUAUUAUCUCAUAUGUUACUAAUAUAUCAUAAAUUCUUCUUUUUAUAUCUGUAUUAAGACCUUUUAGUAUAUAGAGUAUUAAUAUCUUGUAAUUAACAUCAUCGUCUAAUAAAUAGGAGUUCAUUUUAUUCAUUUUUUCACUUAAAAUUUUAUUCCUUCCAACCUCUUAAUAGAUUAUACUUAUUCAUUUUUGUAAUAAUAAUGGUUUAAUAAUCAUCUCGUCUAGUCACUACUACAAUUUUCUUCUUUGAUCAGUUACCCUAAUAGCGCCUCAACUUUGUUUACUCCCCUAAACGGCCUUCUUGCCUAUUGGUUUCAACCUUAGGAUGGUAUAGUCUGAGCAUACUUAUUCACAGAAUAUUUCUGUAGCAAACUUUCUAAAGAUGGUUAUUAUAACAUUAUUAAAACAUGAUAAAUAAUCAUAAUCAACAAGAGAUUAUCAAGAAUAAAUAGAUUUAGCUACCCAUGAACAUAAACGAAUAUACCUAUUCUUGUAGAUUUGUUAUCUCUGAAUUUUUCAUAUCUUAUUUUUUGUAAACUAGCUCUGAUACUAAUUUUGGGUGGAAGCGGAAUUAAGAGUGAGAGAGAGAGAGUUGUAGAGAAAAAGAGAUCAGGGAUGAUUUUAUUAUGAGGGAGAACCCUCCAUUUAUACAAGAAAUUUUUAACAACUUGGCCAAAUGGCCGACAGAACUUUACAUUUUACUUUUACACCUGGCAAAAAAAAAGUAUUUUGUAAUUUUAUGUCUUUAUUAAAGUAGUUUGCCGUGUAGUGUCGGCCAGAAGAUAAGAUGGCCAUAUGUAAAAGUUAUGUCGGCCAUAUAAAAAGUAAAGGCCAAUAAGUGUAAAAGUAUUUUGUUUUCUUGUGUCGGCCGAAUAUAAUAAGGCCAGGUGUAAAAGUAAAAUGUAAAGUUGUGUCGGUCAUUUGGCCAAAUUAUUAAAAAUAUCUUGUAUAAUUGGAGGGUUCUCCCUCAUAAUAAAAUCAUUCCUGAUCCCUUUUUCUCUACAACUCUCUCUCUCACUCUUAAUUCCGCUUGCACCCAAAAUUUAGUUAAAUACGCUUGAUCAACACAUGAAUAUGAAUAAGUUUCUUAUGGAACAACUUUAUUACAUGAACUAAAGUAUGAAAGAAUGGAAAUCAUCUCUUAAGGCCCUGUAGGCCUCCUGAUUAUAAAUGUAGUCCACCACACACCCGUAAGAAAAAGCACUAAUCUGUAGACACCCUAGGACACUUGAACUAUAUUCUCAAAUACCAUGUCGGGCAAACCUCAAGACUACACCCUGGAUGUUGCAAGCACUCACAACUAUGUUGGUUCCAAGGGAAACCUUGACCUAGAUGACUACUGAGCUAAAAAUUAUGCAUACAUGUGUAAGACUUAUAAAAUAAAGAUCCAAAGUUAUUUAAAGAUAUGUCUCAUUCAAAAAUGUCAAAUAAAUCGCAUAUAAAUAAUUAAAAUUAUAAUAAUGUUCUAAAACUUGUGAAUACUAAAGACUCAAAACUAACUCACUAAUUUUGUCUACCUAUGAAGCAUCUACUAACUGAAGAUAUGUGUCGAGACAAUACCCACAUCUACCUGACUAUUCAACUAACAAAGACUAAAAUCGUGCAAUAAUUCCCAUACUAAUAUAUAUGUUGAAUUAGUGCUCAAAAAGACCUUUUUAUGAUAUUAUGAUCUUUAUUUUAUUAACUAAAACUACUUCAAAAACUAUUUAUGCUCUUCCAAAAUCUCAAUUGAAAACACUUCAUUUGGAACAAUUAGUUUUCCCUUACAAACUCUUCUCAAGUGAUAACUUUAAAUACAUGAAUUUAAAUUAAUUCAGAAGUCAAUACAUUAACAUAUUUGGGCAAAAGCUUUCAACAAUUCUUAAAUAAAUAUGAUUCAUGUGAUAAAAUUAGCAUGAAUAAUUAUUCAAGAACUAAACUACAUGAAGUACUAAACUCUAAAUGAAAGGUGACAUCUUUGGAGGAAAAUAUGGUAAGAAUUCAUUUCUUAAACCUUAGAGGUUGGUUUUCUUGGAACACUUAUAAAUUUAAUGGGUAGAUGAUGUUAGUUGGUGUUAAAAUUAAGAAAUUAUAAAAUUUUAUGAUCAAAUCUUACCCAUGAUGACGAAUCAACCUUAAAAGAAGCUAGUUUAUUGCGUACUUCUCUUUCUAGGAUAAACUUUUUAAGUAGGGAGGUCGACUAAGUCUUUCGGAUUUCUUAUUAGGCUAUUGCGACUCACUAUCUCACAAAAAAUGUAUCAGGUGUGCGGCCAAUGUGAUGGAAGUCAGUAGCAACUUCCUCGCCAUGCUAUCCCUCGGAAUAUACCUCGGGCGCGCAGCCGGUGCACAACUGGAUAGUGUCCAGUAAAAAGAACAUAACUUUUUAUUCUAAACUCCAAUUGAUGAAAACUUGGUGGCAUUAGAAAGAAGACUCAUUGACCUCUAAUUUGAUAUAUUCUUUUUCACAUAAAUUUUAUAUUCUAUGAGAUAUGGUCAUUUAAUACUUACCUAAGUAAAAUAGUAUACCAAAACUCAACCGAUAAGGAAUCUCUGAUCUCGACUUUAUGCUAGAGGAAACUUCUGACCUUAGUUUACAUCCAAUACACUUCCCAAACAUAAGAAUUUAUCUUCAAACCUAUGUAUAAUUAGAAAUCAUCGAGUUUGUGCCGUUACACAUUCGUAGAAUAAUUCAUGUCUUCACUUAGAAAUUUUUGGGGUGUAACAUCAAAAUACGCAUAUUCCUAUUAUCACUAAUAGGCGAAGCAACUCUUUGGAUUCCUUUCUAAUUCUUUUUAAAUGAUUGAAUAAUGUUUGUGUAUGGAUAUAUUGAUGAUUUUAUAUGAUUUUAAGUUUAAUUACUCAAGAAUCCAUGGAUUGCCUAUUUUUCCAAAUUGGAUCUUAAAGUGUGGGUAUUGAUUGAUGAUUGUAGAACGUUAUAGAAUCAUGCAUAUAAUGUAUUGAUUACUAGAAUUAUGUAUUAGAGGAUUUCUUUUUCUUUUGAUGUUAGAUUUUCCCAAGAACCCAUUAAAACACCUAUAUCUCUAAUUUAUGACUAUCUUACCAGUAGAUUGUGGAGAGAUAAGUAAAAUGAGAUUAUGUUGUAAUAGUUGAGUUAUCUGAAUCAUGCUUAUUUUCAUGUUUAAUGUGUUAACCAUAGAUGUUGUUGGUUGAAUGUGAUCCUUGAUGCAAGAGGGGUAAAACAUGAGAAUUAUGCUUAAUUAUGGCUUCAUAUGUAUACUUUAUUAAUAUGAUUAUUAUUGUUGUGUUGUUGAAAGGUCAUUCUCACGUACACACUCAUGUAUGAUUAUUUGCUAUGUUACUGUGUUGAUUGAAUGUUCGUUCUCAUAAACACAUAAUGAGCAUAAUGUGAAUGUUUUUCUCACAUAUUGAAGUUUCUAGGUUGAAAGUCAGUUCUCAACAUUUAAAUCUAACAUGAAAACAUGGAUUGUAAAAGUUUAUUCACGCGUAAUCUAAUGAGCUAUCCUAAUAAAAUAAGUUAGGAUUCAAUAAAUACUUCAUGGGAAUUAUACUUAGCACCCACAAGAUAUUUAAAAUGAAAUAGAGUCUCUCCCGUUACGAAAGUCUGGGUUUAUAAAGUUAAUCUAAAUGAGAUGGAAGCUCCCCAUUAAGUAUGUUUGGAGUUUCUAGAAGCAAUCUUCUAUCCCAUAAACUAUGUGCCCCUUUAGAUUAUUUAUCUAUUGGAUCGACCUAAAAUCUAAUAUAUAUUUUGGUUUUGCCUUAGGCAAGUAGGACAUCUCUUUUUGGUGUGGGCAUGACACCAGAUUCCAUGGAAUCUCACAUAGUCUAUGUCGGUAAAGGCUAAUUCCCACAAGGUCAAGUCUAGGAAGAACUAUGGCUACUCAAGAGGCCUUGAUUAUCAUGGAUAAGAGUGUGGACUCUUAUUCAUGCAUUACACACAUAAGCUUUGAGGUUAAUUAUUGUAGGGAUCCUCUUUUGUUAUGAUGACUCAUGUAAUGAAUGUUAUCUUGAUUAAAUGGCAAUUACAUUUGACUCGGAUAUGAAGGAUUGAGCCUUCAUGGAUCGAAGAGUACACAAGGAGAGGAAAUGGAUUCCAAAUGGACCCAAGAGGAGUUUCACAUGAAAAGAACAACAUGAACAAAAAUUAGCACCUACUCACAAUGAUAAGACAAACAAAAAUAACCGCGAGAAACUUGAUUGAAGCUAAACUCAAACGAAACUCAAUCAACAGUAACCGAUAAGAAUGAUAUUUAAAACUUUCUCAAAGGGCAUAGAAAUCAUGUAAACACAAUUUCAACAAAAGCCAAGCUAAAAAAAACAUUUACUACCUCAUUAUUAAGAUGAUAAAAAUGUAAUGAUAUCAAAAGUGAACCACUACAAGUGCUUUAGAGUUAGAAGAUAUUUUUCAUUUCAUUCUGACCUUUCUCAAAGAGGCAUACAUUUAAUAAACAAAAGAAUUUGGAAAUGUAAGCCAUGAUUUUUCUUAUUAUUUUUUUUUUAAAAAAAAGGACUUUGCCAGCAUAAGUUGUUGGAGCUGAAGGAAGGAAAAAUAGUUUAUGAUUGACAGAUACACUUAAGAACAAAACACCACCAUUAUAUCAUGGAAGAUUUCAACUCAAACCAAAUAAGAAAAAAUUUUGACUAAAUGAUCACAUCCAAACCCUAUUUCUUGAACUCUCACUAGGACAAAGGCAUCACAUUAAAUCGAACUUACGAGAGGGUGAGGGGAGAAUACAAACUCCAAUCAAUGAAGCAAAGACGUACUCAUAUAGAAACAAGUUAUUUGAAUAUAACACUAGAAAUUUAAAAAAAUAAAAUCAGAAUAGAAUAAAUAACUAUGUCUAGAGAUAGCAAGGUAGAAAGUUAAACAAACCAUUUACCCGAAAUUGCAAGUUAAGCUAACAUACAUUCUGAUGGCAAAGGAGAAAUGACAACGGAGAUUAUAAGCAACAACUAGAAAUGGUGUAUAUAUGUUCUAUCAUGUUUCUAAGAAAAAGCUCACUAAGGAAGUAUGAUAUGCAAACUAUACAACAUUAAGAGUAACAGAGGGAACAAACUUUAAAUACAAAGAUACCCACAAAAAUAUCUUGGACACAAUUUAGAGGAGGGAAAGGAUAGUCACAUGAACCGCAUUAAUCUGUGAACAAACAAUUCUUUCAAACUACCUCACGAGCAAACAAAUAAAAAAAGGAAUCCAAAUUUGCGAGCUAAUGAAAACAAUCCGAACAAAAAAAAAAUCAGCAGGUGAGGCGCUUUGAAAGAGAGCCAACUAUUACAACAGAACAAUAUACGCCUCCAUGUUGGAUGGUUCCAAAUCGCUAAAGAAACACUGAUAUGUAGUCAUCAUUAUGUCAAGAAUCUAACAGCCAGCAGCAACAAACACAUUUCCAGGACAUUGAAGAGGACACCCUUUCAAAAACAUAUAAGAGGAGAAAGUCAUACAAAAGGGGAGUUGUUACCUGCUUAUGUGCAGUGAACAGUGACGACGAACUUCGAAGUGACUUCUACCCCACGAGCACAGGGCCGAACAGCAGCAAGAGACCCAAAUGAAUUUUCGAAUCUUGACAAAAAAAUAAUGGGGAGGAACACCAGCAACAAAAGAACAGAAGAGCUGGCCGAAAUCGACUAUUUCCCCUGUUUAAAAAGUAUUUUUAGUGCCCAUUUCUAUUACUCUGCUUAAGGUAAUUUUUUUGUCUAUUUUCCGCUCAAGAAUAAUUCUCUUCCAAAAAAAUUCCUUUAACAGUGAAUCACAAGUGAUUAUAUAUGGGGGAAAAAUUAGGGUUCUAUUGGAGGGAAACGGGCACAAGCGGAUAGGAACGUGGACCACUUUCCUUUUGAAUUCCCAAAAAACUUUCAUCAAUUUGGAUAAACAUCUUUUCUGAGGCUUCAAGACAUUCCCAAAACUGGAAAGGAGGAUGGACGGUUUGAUGAUUUCGAUAGUCCUUGGGGUGAGACGUGGCUUGAUCUCACGAUCCCAAGGACGGAAACACGUGUUCUUCUCAACUGAGGACUGUACUGGUCUGAGGGGAAUGAGGAAGAAGACGACAAAAGGGCAGGUAUUCCUCUUUUUUUCCGUCUAGCCGCGUCCUUUAAGGAUGUUGAACGUGAUUUUUGUCUACUCGCCCUCGCGUGGGAAGGAACAAGGCGCAUAUGGAGCAUAUAUGUGCCGUUCACGUAUCAAUGUCGUUGCUACGCCGUGAAAAAUGUCGUUGUUACAUUAGAGAGGAAAACUAAAAUAAGGGUGGGUCGGGUCGACAAAAUUGGAGUGGGCUAGGAGUUGGUAUUGAUGAAAUGGGAUUUGGGUUGGGUAUUUCUGAUGGGUCGGCUGAUGGUAUUGUCUAAUUGAAAUGUUGGAUGGGUUGGCCGCUGUGAAUUGAGAAGAAGCCCAAGUUCAGAUAGAGCAAAAUUGAAG
rnacentral:lncRNA from 1 species